rnacentral:lncRNA from 1 species
AAUGAGCCUAAAAUCUAGUAGAUCUUUUCUGAACAGGUGUUUUAACACUUCUUGCUCCAUUACUAUCUAAUGUGCCUAAAACAAGUAGAAAAUGUAUCCCCCAAAAGUCCACGGCAUUCAUGAACUCAUUAAAGAGAUAUUGUAACAAGUUUAAAAUCUAGGCUUCUCUCCACAUAAAAAAUGAUCUUCGUUGUAAACUUAGCGUGUACACAAAUAUUAGCCCGAUAAGUGUAAUACCUAUGUUUUUAUAUCAAAUUAAAGAGGGAUCUCUAUUCAGAUUGGUACACUUCUAUUUGCAUCCUAUAUUGCUUUUCUCUGCCAGUGUAAAUUCUACUAAAAAUAACGAUUUUUACAAAAAUACUGCUUCCACUUGAAUGGGGAAAUUAUAUCAGAUUAGUUCUCCCAAGUAAAAUUACAAAAAUUAAAACAAAGGAAUUAAGAAUGAUAUAGUUAUAUGUACUUUUUUCACUUUUAGUCCGUG